CCUACGGGAGGCAGCAGUGGGGGAUAUUGCACAAUGGGGGAAACCCUGAUGCAGCGACGCCGCGUGGGUGCAGAAGCGCCUCGGCGCGUAAAGCCCUGUCAGCCGGGCAGAAACUGCCGGUACCUGAAGAAGCCGCCCCGGCUAAAUACGUGCAAGCAGCCGCGGUACUACGUAGGGGGCACGCGUUAUCCGGAUUUACUGGGGGUAAAGGGGGCGCAGACGGCGAUGCAAGUCAGGAGUGAAAGCCCGAGGCCCAACCCCGGGACUGCCCUUGAAACUGCGUGGCUAGAGUGCAGGAGGGGCAGGCGGAAUGCCUGGUGUAGCGGUGAAAUGCGUAGAGAUCAGGAGGAACACCGGUGGCGAAGGCGGCCUGCUAGACUGCAACUGACGUGGAGGCCCGAAAGCGUGGGGAGCAAACAGGAUUAGAUACCCGGGUAGUC
rnacentral:rRNA from 1 species